GACGGGGGAUGCAAGUGUUAUCCGGAAUCACUGGGCGUAAAGCGUCUGCAGGUGGUUUCCUAAGUCCACUGUUAAACCUUGAGGCUCAACCUCAAAUCUGCAUUGGAAACUAGGAGACUUGAGUAUAGUAGGGGUAGAGGGAAUUUCCAGUGGAGCGGUGAAAUGCGUAGAUAUUGGAAAGAACACCGAUGGCGAAGGCACUCUACUGGGCUAUUACUGACACUCAGAGACGAAAGCUAGGGGAGCAAA
rnacentral:rRNA from 1 species